ACAGGGCAGUUGUUAAGCAAGGACUACCUGUAAUUUGAGAGGUAGAGAAGACAGUGACCUGACCAUCUAGGUACUAAGUAUUGAUGAUGGUUCCCCAGGUGAGUAUUGAUAACUACCUUGAUUUUUCCUUCUGAAGAUUGGUCAACAAGUGAUCCUUACUAAGUUGACCCUUAAUUCUGAUUUAAAGCUAAUUUCUUUUGGCAAAAGUAAAGUUUCUUUCCUUAACCCAAGACUCUCUGUUGGAUCGCAGCUUCCGUCUUCCCCCAUCACACUUUCUGUGGACCUGGGAUUUAUACUGCAGGACCUAUGAAAGGUUCAGUUUCGGAGACUGCAGCUUUGCAGUGGAUGAUGGGAGCCUAGAUAGGUGACGGGUUAGGAAAUUGUCCUCUGCCGCACCCUGAAUAUUGAUGACCCAGCCAUAGUAAUAGAACAGGAAAGGAAAUGGAUACUGAACAUUGGAUGUGUUUGAACCUCUCUCAGCAUUUUCUCAUCUUUGAAGGAUUUAAACAAUUGGUGCUUUUGUCUGUUCUGUCUUUCCACAUGCACCGCAGUGGUUAAGUUCUCUAAAGUUAAUUAUAUGAUUCUGGACAGGGAAUGUAUACAUCAGAUUGUCCCAGCAAUUCACAGUGCCAGUUGGAAGUCUUGAAAAAGUCUUCUGACAUUCUUUAAAAGUGCAGGAACACAGAAUUCCUGCCUUCUCCCUUUGCAGAGCUUAAGCAAGUCCAGGCAACAGCCACAUACUUUUGAAAGAGUCAUCACCGGAUGAGAAGCAAAGAAUUUGCAAAGGGACGAACCUUGGGCUUCUUGAACAAUCCAGAAGAGGCUCUGAAACGUGCAGGUGUUGCUAGCUGUUCCUGCCAUCCUGUAAAAUAUUACAUGUUCACCAACCAGAGUUUGACCUACAGAGAAUGAUGGACUUGAAUGAAAGCUGGAAUUUAGAUGAUUUCAAUUGGCUGACCCAUGAUGCAAUUCUUCAUGUUGUCAAUGCACUAAAAGACGCUGAGGCUCCCCAAGGUAUUCCAGCAGUUUUUGGGGUCCAUCAGUUGGG